AUUUAAGUAGUUUAAUUUUAAAAUAUUGAUUUGUGGGAUCAAAGUUAUUGCUAAAUCUUAAAUU
rnacentral:tRNA from 1 species